CUAAAAGAUCGCGUUACUCAAGACUUUGUCGUAUGCCUGUUUAGGAUAGAUUGGACUGUGUGACUCUGUGUGGGAAGUGGAGCUUCAAAUGGAUAAGAAUGACGACAUGUGUGAAGCCAGGAAGAAGUGAAGAGACCAGUUGUCAGAUGCGAGCUCUAUCCUAUUUUAUUUUUACUUUUUCCAAAAAUACAUUCUCCUUAGUAAGCUGACAAAAUACUAUCUUAGAUUGUAGCUAUGGCGACAGAAUAAGUUUACAGCGGUGAUCGGCGACGGCUUCUGCUACCGGAGAAUCAGACGACUGAUUAAUCUGUUUGUGGGUCUUGCUAUUACUUUGCUGAUGAGGUCAUCGAUCGUGUUCCCCACUAGCUAGAGUCCUUAAAGGAGACAUCUAUUGACGUAGACGAGGACCUACCUAUCUAGAGCUUGCAAAGCUGAUAGUAUCGGAGAGCCCCUUGUUGGUUUGCGCAGGAGAAGAGUUUGCAGGAUUGAGAUGCUCAAAUAAAUUAGGAUUUCCAAAUCAUUGAAAGUAAUGCUGCAAAGGGCACUAGUAUUCACUCCAGAAGCUGCAUUGCCCUUACUGCUUCACUGGGAAGUGUGUUUUUUCCUGCAUUUUAGAAAUAAACCUUAGGAUGUUUCAGAAAAUGAGAUGUUUCAUUUUGGAGGCAUUUCCUCACUUGAAAUGCACUGUCCUUGAUCUUCCACAUGUUGCUGCUGACAUGCCAAAAAGUGAGAAUUUAAGCUAUGUAGGAGGGGCUAUGUUUCAAUCUAGUCCACAUGUUGUUGCUGAUGCCAUUUUGCUUAAGAACAUUUGUUCAAAUUAAUCAGAGUUCGAUGCAAUGUCACACUGUUAUGUUUUGCAGCAAGUAGUGCACAGUUGGAGAGAUGAGGAUUGUGUCAAGCUACUGAAGAAAUGCAGAGAAGCUAUUGCAUUGACAUGGUGUUAAGACACAAACGAAGAUGAACCAGACAUGACUGAAGUAAAGCUCAUGUUUGACAUGUUGAUGGCAAUGGUUUUCACCGCAAAAGAAAGAACGGAACAAGAACUAUUCCUUGAAGCUGGCUUUACUCGUUACACCAAUCUUUGGCCUUAGGUCACUUAUUGAGGUGAGGAAAUGCCUCCAAAAUGGUCUUAGCCUAUAGUCAAUCCCAACUAAUUUGGGAGUGAAAUGUAGUUGGUUAAUUUUUUUUUAUGUAUCCCUGCCCAUCUGCCCAGGAAGACGGGGGCAGAAACACAUUAGCAAAUGUAAUUUACUGAAAUGUUUUCUUACUUAACGAACAUCACAUUAGCAAACACAUUAGUCUGUUUUUGUUAGACUGCAAAAGAUUGUUAGCAGUUGAGUUACCAGUUGAUCGCAUUAUUUGAAUUUAGAAGAAAUCUAAUCUGUAUACUGUAAAGCCUUUGUAAAAAUACAUAGUAUAGAUUACAACA